CUAGCGAGCCACCUCCCACCCGUGUUUACUGUACCUUAGUUGCUUCGGCGGGCCCGCCAUUCAUGGCCGCCGGGGGCUCUCAGCCCCGGGCCCGCGCCCGCCGGAGACACCACGAACUCUGUCUGAUCUAGUGAAGUCUGAGUUGAUUGUAUCGCAAUCAGUUAAAACUUUCAACAAUGGAUCUCUUGGUUCCGGCAUCGAUGAAGAACGCAGCGAAAUGCGAUAACUAGUGUGAAUUGCAGAAUUCCGUGAAUCAUCGAGUCUUUGAACGCACAUUGCGCCCCCUGGUAUUCCGGGGGGCAUGCCUGUCCGAGCGUCAUUGCUGCCCAUCAAGCACGGCUUGUGUGUUGGGUCGUCGUCCCCUCUCCGGGGGGGACGGGCCCCAAAGGCAGCGGCGGCACCGCGUCCGAUCCUCGAGCGUAUGGGGCUUUGUCACCCGCUCUGUAGGCCCGGCCGGCGCUUGCCGAACGCAAAUCAAUCUUUUUCCAGGUUGACCUCGGAUCAGGUAGGGAUACCCGCUGAACUUAAGCAUAUCAAUAAGCAGGAGGAAAAGAA
rnacentral:rRNA from 1 species